rnacentral:rRNA from 1 species
GAUGAACGCUGGCGGCGUGCCUAAUACAUGCAAGUCGAGCGAACAGACGAGGAGCUUGCUCCGCUGACGUUAGCGGCAGACGGGUGAGUAACACGUGGAUAACCUACCUAUAAGACUGGGAUAACUUCGGGAAACCGGAGCUAAUACCGGAUAAUAUAUUGAACCGCAUGGUUCAAUAGUGAAAGACGGUUUUGCUGUCACUUACAGAUGGAUCCGCGCCGCAUUAGCUAGUUGGUAAGGUAACGGCUUACCAAGGCAACGAUGCGUAGCCGACCUGAGAGGGUGAUCGGCCACACUGGAACUGAGACACGGUCCAGACUCCUACGGGAGGCAGCAGUAGGGAAUCUUCCGCAAUGGGCGAAAGCCUGACGGAGCAACGCCGCGUGAGUGAUGAAGGUCUUCGGAUCGUAAAACUCUGUUAUUAGGGAAGAACAAAUGUGUAAGUAACUAUGCACGUCUUGACGGUACCUAAUCAGAAAGCCACGGCUAACUACGUG